AGAGUUUGAUCUUGGCUCAGGAUGAACGCUGGCGGCAUGCCUAAUACAUGCAAGUCGAACGAGAGACCUUCGGGUCUCUAGUGGCGAACGGGUGAGUAACACGUAGGGAACCUGCCCGCGCACCGGGAAUACGCUCUGGAAACGGAGAACAAAUCCCGAUGUACAGGAAGGAGGCAUCUUCUUUCUGUGAAACAUCCUUUAGGGGAUGGGGCGCGGAUGGACCUGCGGUGCAUUAGUUUGUUGGCGGGGUAAAGGCCCACCAAGACGAUGAUGCAUAGCCGGCCUGAGAGGGCGGACGGCCACAUUGGGACUGAGACACGGCCCAGACUCCUGCGGGAGGCAGCAGUAGGGAAUUUUCGUCAAUGGGCGCAAGCCUGAACGAGCGAUGCCGCGUGAGUGAAGAAGGCCUUCGGGUCGUAAAGCUCUGUUGCGGGGGAAAAAAGGCAGCAUCAGGAAAUGGGUGCUGACUGAUGGUGCCCCGCCAGAAAGUCACGGCUAACUACGUGCCAGCAGCCGCGGUAAUACGUAGGUGGCGAGCGUUAUCCGGAAUGAUUGGGCGUAAAGGGUGCGCAGGCGGUCCUGCAAGUCUGGAGUGAAACGCAUGAGCUCAACUCAUGCAUGGCUUUGGAAACUGGAGGACUGGAGAGCAGGAGAGGGCGGUGGAACUCCAUGUGUAGCGGUAAAAUGCGUAGAUAUAUGGAAGAACACCAGUGGCGAAGGCGGCCGCCUGGCCUGUUGCUGACGCUGAGGCACGAAAGCGUGGGGAGCAAAUAGGAUUAGAUACCCUAGUAGUCCACGCCGUAAACGAUGAGGACCAAGUGUUGGGGGUGAAACCUCAGUGCUGAAGUUAACGCAGUGAGUCCUCCGCCUGGGGAGUAUGCACGCAAGUGUGAAACUCAAAGGAAUUGACGGGGGCCCGCACAAGCGGUGGAGUAUGUGGUUUAAUUCGAAGCAACGCGAAGAACCUUACCAGGCCUUGACAUCCCGGUGACCGCUGUAGAGAUACAGUUUUCCCUUCGGGGACGCCGGUGACAGGUGGUGCAUGGUUGUCGUCAGCUCGUGUCGUGAGAUGUUGGGUUAAGUCCCGCAACGAGCGCAACCCUUAUUGUUAGUUGCUACGCAAGAGCACUCUAGCGAGACUGCCGUUGACAAAACGGAGGAAGGUGGGGACGACGUCAAAUCAUCAUGCCCCUUAUGUCCUGGGCCACACACGUACUACAAUGGUGGUCAACAGAGGGAAGCAAUACCGCGAGGUGGAGCAAAUCCCUAAAAGCCAUCCCAGUUCGGAUCGCAGGCUGCAACCCGCCUGCGUGAAGUUGGAAUCGCUAGUAAUCGCGGAUCAGCAUGCCGCGGUGAAUACGUUCCCGGGCCUUGCACACACCGCCCGUCAA
rnacentral:rRNA from 1 species